GACGAACGCUGGCGGCGUGCCUAAUACAUGCAAGUAGAACGCUGAAGGAGGAGCUUGCUUCUCUGGAUGAGUUGCGAACGGGUGAGUAACGCGUAGGUAACCUGCCUGGUAGCGGGGGAUAACUAUUGGAAACGAUAGCUAAUACCGCAUAAUAGUAGAUGUUGCAUGACAUUUGCUUAAAAGGUGCAAUUGCAUCACUACCAGAUGGACCUGCGUUGUAUUAGCUAGUUGGUGGGGUAACGGCUCACCAAGGCGACGAUACAUAGCCGACCUGAGAGGGGGAUCGGCCACACUGGGACUGAGACACGGCCCAGACUCCUACGGGAGGCAGCAGGAGGGAAUCUUCGGCAAUGGACGGAAGUCUGACCGAGCAACGCCGCGGGAGUGAAGAAGGUUUUCGGAUCGUAAAGCUCUGUUGUAAGAGAAGAACGAGUGUGAGAGUGGAAAGUUCACACUGUGACGGUAUCUUACCAGAAAGGGACGGCUAACUACGUG
rnacentral:rRNA from 1 species